GUGAUUACCAUAUGGUUCCUUAUAAGAAACUGCCUUACCCUUUAGUGAAAUGUGCAUGUAGCACACAGUUCAUUUAGACAGUAAUUUCCUGUGUUGUCACUAUUGGUAGACUUCACAUACCCUGUAUUAAUGCUGGAAAAAGGUGGAAUUUUAUUAUAUAAAGUGGUGGUCUGUAUUUUGCCAUAGCAAAGAACAGUAACCUCUUACUGAAGAUAAAAUACGGCGUGUGAAAAGUCAGUAUCAUUCUCACAGGCCAGGAAACCCUUAUUUGUCUGUACAAGUCUAAACUUCCUUGGUAUUUCCCCCAAGUUUUUAUUUUGAGAAACUUCAGAAUACAGAAAGAUUGUAAGAAUAGAACAAUAUAUCCCUGUAUGUUCUUCACUUAGAUCACCAGUUAUCAAUAUAUUGUCCACUUUGCUUUUUCUUGCUCUCUCGAACACAGGCACACAUAAUAUAUGUACAUAAUACACACACACACACACACACACACACACAUUUGGUUUUUGCUGAAUCAUUUAAGAUUAAGCUAUGGAAUUGUAAUUCAGCCAUAAAUACUUUAGCCAGUAUCUCCUAAAAAUAAGGACGUUUAGUUAUCAUGUCCCUUUAGUCUCCUUUUAUCAAGAAGAGUCCCCACUGUCCUCCAUGACAUUGACCUAUUUGAAAAAUUCAGGGUAGUGUUUUGUAGAACAUCCUUCGAUUUGGAUUUGUCUUACUGUCUCAUGAUUGGAUUCAGGUUGAGCAGUUUAGUCAGGAAUUCUCUGUAUAUGGUGUGGUGUUCUUAUUGUAUCAGGUGGCACUUGGUACCAGUUCGUCCCAUUAUUGAAGAGUUGAAGUUGGUUAACUUAAUUAAGAUGUUGUCUGCCUUGUAAAGAUACCCUUUCCCCUUUGUAAUUAAUAAGUAAUCUGUAGGGUGAUAUUUGAGACUGGGAAUAUCAUGUCCUCAGUGGUUUUGUACCCAGUGUUAGUGUUCCUUGGUGAUUCCUGAUGGAAUCAUUUAUUACUAAGGUGGUUGUAAAAAAGUGAUUUUCUAAUUAUUAUUGUUGAUGUAUCUCAGUGAAGAGGAGUACUCCCGUUUUAAGAGGUUUUAGUGUAAUUUUCUCAUUCAAGGUAAUAACCACCCAUGCCAUUGUUCAUGCUGAUUCUCAAAUUUGGCCCAAAUUUGGCUUCUGUGUCCCACUGACAGUCUUUGAGCAGUUUCUUACUUUCUGACACACAGAAUGCUGUCCACGUUUACCUUGUAUUUUCUCUACCCCAGUUUCUUCUGUUCACUUUCAGGUGUGUUCUGUUCAUAUAUAUAGAUGCAUUUUCCUUCUCUGUCUUUUAUUUUUGCCUAACUGAUACUGUACAUUCCUACUACUCAUAGUUUGGAGAUUGUUCUCUAUCUCAUUUUUCUGCAUUGUAUUCCAUUUUAUGAAUACCCCAUAGUUUAACUAGUCUCCUUUUUAAAAAUUUUUUUAAAUUUAUUUAUUUAAUUUUUUUUUUUUUUUUUUUUAAAUUUUUGGCUGCGUUGGAUCUUCGUUGCUGUGCGCAGGCUUUCUCUAGUUGCGGCGAGCAAGGGCUACUCUUCGUUGUGGUACACCGGCUUCUCAUUGCUGUGGCUUCUCUUGUUGUGGAGCAUGGGCUCUAGGCCGAAUUCCUCAGAAGCACUCUACUGACUCGUCUGAGCCAAACGUCUUCUGAUUGCAAGUCUCAGAAAUUCAUUAAAACCAGCCAAUGCAGAAAGGGGGAUUUUCUAGAAUCUGAGUGGAGCUGGGCCACAAGGCCUACCUUUGGGACCAAGUCGGGGUCCUGUUCACUGAGCAUCAGAAGGAAUUGCACCAGGGGAAGUAGGCCGCAGCUGCAGAGGACGGCUGGGCAUAUUUUCCUGCAUGAUUGUGGAUGUGAGGUGUUAUGAACAAGAGUCUCUAAGCCAACCCAGGAUUUCUCAAGAUGGAUCACUCAUUCCAGGCCCCCAGAACUCAGGAGGCAGGGAGAGGAGAUCUGCUUUCUUCAGCUUCAGGUCCGGACAGACGUCUCCAAGUCAGCCCGACCCAGUGUUGGCUGAAUGGGCAUCACUGUGCUGAGAUGGGCUCCAGAGUACGCUUUGACCCUUCCCAGGAUGCACUAUGGCUUGGUGGAACAUCAGGAAUGAAACGGGAUGACCAGAGAAUGUCGUUCUCCUCGUGUAAGUGGAAGAGGCUCCAGCUUUCCAAGUUAUAACACACGAAGUCCUGGCGUGGCAGUUAUCUGGAGGUUCCUUUUUUGGAUCUCCUUUUUCAUUAAGAAGAAAAAUCAUAUUGUUUAGUGGGUUGGUUCUGGUGUCUGUCAGCUGUUUUGUCUCUGAAUUCUUGAAAGAGGAAUUCCUGCCCCAAGACAGCAUCUCACAGGUCGACUGCAUUUAAGAGACGGAAGAUAAGACUAUUGAAAACAGAUUACGUGGAAACCAAAAUCUCCGUCAAUAGUGAUUCUCCAUCACUUCCUGGCCUGUUAUCUGAAACUUUAUCACAAGACCACAUCAUGCAGUUGGAGGAAAAAAGUGAGUCACGUGGAAGUCCUGGUGUUAGGACAGGGGUGAAGGGUCUUGCUGGUCCCCGGGAAGAGCGCCUUCGCUCUGCUCAUCACUAAUCUCAUGGGCUGGCUCUUCAUAAACAGGCUCACCAAGGUCUUCGCUGCCCCCCUCACUCUGCUCCUCACUGUGGUCUUCGCUGGGCCCCACAGUCUGUUCCAGGCUGUUCUCCAGAAGUGUGGGAGAACUGCUUAUCCUGCUUUCUUCUUCAGCUGUCUCAUUUAACGGCUGGGAGGGAGGUGGUGUGGGAGCAUCAGACUGCAUGACACUUUCAAUGGAAGAGAUGGGGGCUUUGGUGAGCGCAGUAUCUGCUACAACCUCAUUUUGAGGCAAAGAUAACUUUUCCACAAGUUUCCACUGAAUGAUGCUCGUGUCUUUUCCACCAGUUGAAAUCAGGUGACUGUCAUUAUGAGUAAAACUGACAUUGGUGACAUGGCUGCUGUGGGCACUGUACUUGUGACUGGGAGCCUACAUGAAAUAAAUCAGAUAGGAAAAUUAAACUCAUUCUUCACAUGCCUACUUACAGCAAUGGAGGUGACUAGGUUAGGGAGGUCAUUCAGUUUGUGAAACAGGUAAUUUAGAUCAAAACCACAAGUCAUUGACUCUAAGGAAUAAAGCUAGCAGUAAUUUUCUUUUUAAUACCUAUUUAUGUGGGAGAAACAAAGUAACUGGACAGCUGUACUUUCAGACUGUAAAAAAAAUAAAUGUCUCUUCUGCAUACUUGUUAGAGUUUAGUGACUAUUCUACUGAGACGGCUAGGGGAGAAUUUACUAGGUUGGAAAGAUUAGAGACAAUUUGGGAGUCAUAAUGUUGAUCAUGUACCAAAAAUGAAAUAUUUUAAUAUGUUUAGAAGAAAUUUAAAACUACCAAGGUAUCGGGCUUCCCUGGUGGCGCAGUAGUUGAGAGUCCGCCUGCCGAUGCAGGGGACACGGGUUCGUGCCCCGGUCUGGGGGGAUCCCAUAUGCCGCGGAGCGGCUGGGCCCAUGAGCCAUGGCCACUGAGCCUGCGUGUCCGGAGCCUGUACUCCGCAACGGGAGAGGCCACAACAGUAAGGCCCGCGUACCGCAAAAAAAAAAAAAAACAAAAAAAAAACUACCAAGGUAUCAAAAUGAAAAAAAAAAGGACAAUAAACAAAAAUGAAUAAAACAUCAUCAAGUGGCUUCUCUGUCUUCUCCUUUACCUUAAUGAGGAAGGAAAAGACAAGCACUGCCUGCUUGGAUGCUUACAGAUGACCCUAUUCCCUCCCCCCAAGCACUGUAGUAUCACAGACAGUAAUUAGUAACCCUAUGAAUAUUUUCCCACCAUUGACACAAUAUAUUCCCAAACAAAAAUUAUCCCCAAACAAAAGGCCCUAUAACACUAGUUUUCAUUAAGUUGAUUUUACCUUUGCUUUGGAGCAGGGAUACUGAAACAGGUGGACUUUGCAAAAGUCAUCAGCAACAGCUAUCACCUUUCUAUUGUGGGAUCGCACCAGUGCAUUGAUAUCUGUCCCAUCAGAUCCUUCUGGCCAGACACCUUUGAUAU